GUGUACGUACAAGCAGUGGGAGCACAGGUUUACCUGUGUGACUGCGUACCUUUUGUAUAAUGGGUCAGCGACUUAUAUUCUGUAGCAAGGUUAACCGAAUAGGGGAGCCGGAGGGAAACCGAGUCUUAAUUGGGCGUUAAGUUGCAGGGUAUAGACCCGAAACCCGGUGAUCUAGCCAUGGGCAGGUUGAAGGUUGGGUAACACUAACUGGAGGACCGAACCGACUAAUGUUGAAAAAUUAGCGGAUGACCUGUGGCUGGGGGUGAAAGGCCAAUCAAACCGGGAGAUAGCUGGUUCUCCCCGAAAGCUAUUUAGGUAGCGCCUCGUGAAUUCAUCUCCGGGGGUAGAGCACUGUUUCGGCUAGGGGGCCAUCCCGGCUUACCAACCCGAUGCAAACUGCGAAUACCGGAGAAUGUUAUCACGGGAGACACACGGCGGGUGCUAACGUCCGUCGUGAAGAGGGAAACAACCCAGACCGCCAGCUAAGGUCCCAAAGUCAUGGUUAAGUGGGAAACGAUGUGGGAAGGCCCAGACAGCCAGGAUGUUGGCUUAGAAGCAGCCAUCAUUUAAAGAAAGCGUAAUAGCUCACUGGUCGAGUCGGCCUGCGCGGAAGAUGUAACGGGGCUAAACCAUGCACCGAAGCUGCGGCAGCGACACUGUGUGUUGUUGGGUA
rnacentral:rRNA from 1 species